GACGAACGCUGGCGGCGUGCUUAACACAUGCAAGUCGAACGGAAAGGCCCUGCUUUUGUGGGGUGCUCGAGUGGCGAACGGGUGAGUAACACGUGAGUAACCUGCCCUUGACUUUGGGAUAACUUCGGGAAACUGGGGCUAAUACCGGAUAGGAGCUCCUGCUGCAUGGUGGGGGUUGGAAAGUUUCGGCGGUUGGGGAUGGACUCGCGGCUUAUCAGCUUGUUGGUGGGGUAGUGGCUUACCAAGGCUUUGACGGGUAGCCGGCCUGAGAGGGUGACCGGCCACAUUGGGACUGAGAUACGGCCCAGACUCCUACGGGAGGCAGCAGUGGGGAAUAUUGCACAAUGGGCGGAAGCCUGAUGCAGCAACGCCGCGUGCGGGAUGACGGCCUUCGGGUUGUAAACCGCUUUCGCCUGUGACGAAGCGUGAGUGACGGUAAUGGGUAAAGAAGCACCGGCUAACUACGUGCCAGCAGCCGCGGUGAUACGUAGGGUGCGAGCGUUGUCCGGAUUUAUUGGGCGUAAAGGGCUCGUAGGUGGUUGAUCGCGUCGGAAGUGUAAUCUUGGGGCUUAACCCUGAGCGUGCUUUCGAUACGGGUUGACUUGAGGAAGGUAGGGGAGAAUGGAAUUCCUGGUGGAGCGGUGGAAUGCGCAGAUAUCAGGAGGAACACCAGUGGCGAAGGCGGUUCUCUGGGCCUUUCCUGACGCUGAGGAGCGAAAGCGUGGGGAGCGAACAGGCUUAGAUACCCUGGUAGUCCACGCUGUAAACGGUGGGUACUAGGUGUGGGGUCCAUUCCACGGGUUCCGUGCCGUAGCUAACGCUUUAAGUACCCCGCCUGGGGAGUACGGCCGCAAGGCUAAAACUCAAAGGAAUUGACGGGGCCCCGCACAAGCGGCGGAGCAUGCGGAUUAAUUCGAUGCAACGCGUAGAACCUUACCUGGGUUUGACAUGGAUCGGGAGUGCUCAGAGAUGGGUGUGCCUCUUUUGGGGUCGGUUCACAGGUGGUGCAUGGCUGUCGUCAGCUCGUGUCGUGAGAUGUUGGGUUAAGUCCCGCAACGAGCGCAACCCUUGUUCACUGUUGCCAGCACGUUAUGGUGGGGACUCAGUGGAGACCGCCGGGGUCAACUCGGAGGAAGGUGGGGAUGACGUCAAGUCAUCAUGCCCCUUAUGUCCAGGGCUUCACGCAUGCUACAAUGGCUGGUACAGGGAGUGGCGAGCCUGUGAGGGUGAGCGAAUCUCGGAAAGCCGGUCUCAGUUCGGAUUGGGGUCUGCAACUCGACCUCAUGAAGUCGGAGUCGCUAGUAAUCGCAGAUCAGCAACGCUGCGGUGAAUACGUUCCCGGG
rnacentral:rRNA from 1 species